rnacentral:rRNA from 1 species
UACGUAGGGGGCUAGCGUUGUCCGGAAUCAUUGGGCGUAAAGAGCGUGUAGGCGGCCCGGUAAGUCCGCUGUGAAAGUCGGGGGCUCAACCCUCGAAUGCCGGUGGAUACUGUCGGGCUAGAGUGCGGAAGAGGCGAGUGGAAUUCCUGGUGUAGCGGUGAAAUGCGCAGAUAUCAGGAGGAACACCUAUUGCGAAGGCAGCUCGCUGGGACGUAACUGACGCUGAGGCGCGAAAGCGUGGGGAGCAAACAGG